GGCGGCGUGCCUAACACAUGCAAGUCGAACGAGAAAGGGGCUUCGGCUCCGAGUAAAGUGGCGCACGGGUGAGUAACACGUGGGUAACCUGCCUCUAAGAUUGGGAUAACUCGUCGAAAGAUGAGCUAAUACCGAAUAAGACCACAGUUCCUGCGGGGACAGCGGUCAAAGGUAGCCUCUGCUUGCAAGCUAUCACUUAGAGAUGGGCCUGCGCACCAUUAGCUAGUUGGUAGGGUAACGGCCUACCAAGGCAAAGAUGGUUAGCUGGUCUGAGAGGAUGAUCAGCCACACUGGAACUGAGACACGGUCCAGACUCCUACGGGAGGCAGCAGUGGGGAAUAUUGCGCAAUGGGCGAAAGCCUGACGCAGCAACGCCGCGUGAGUGAUGAAGGCCUUCGGGUCGUAAAGCUCUGUCGGGAGGAACGAAUGCUCCUGAGGUUAACAGCCUCGGGAGGUGACGGUACCUUCAAAGGAAGCACCGGCUAACUCUGUGCCAGCAGCCGCGGUAA
rnacentral:rRNA from 1 species